CUUUUGCCUCCUCUGAAUGGCUAACCACAGCGGUGUUGGCGGGUUCUAUGGUAAUUACGAUCUCAAGAACAAGGCGGCGGCGGGGGCGAAGCGCCAUCGUCCCAUUAGAUCAUCGCUCGACUAACUGAGAUGAACAACGAUUCAAAGACAUUUUUUUCUUCUGGGGAGGACGGCGGGAAAUAAUUUUAUCCAUCCAGUUGCCGUGAGCAAACGGGCGGAUCUAAUUGGUUGAGAAACCCUAUAGACGGCGGAAGUAGCGCAAUCCUUUUGCUGAUAUGUGACUGACGCUGCCAAUCAAACAGUUCCCAGGAGUGACAAUCACCAAUGAUCUGUCCUUGAUGUGAUGGUCAAGAAGAUACAACAACGCCUCUUCUUCCUCAGGGGCGUUAGGAGAUGCGACAUGCCCAUAAGGACCCUCACCAACUGUUAGAUAGAUGCACCAUAGAAAGCAUUCUAACUGGAUGUGUUAUGGCUUGAUACAGCAACUGCUGCCUAGGACCAUGAAAGUUAUGAACACUAUUGUGCAAGUUAACCAUUCAUCCAUUGGCUCCAUCUACACUAUUUGAUGCCAUGGAAAGGCAGCCAACAUCAUCAAAGACCUCUCCCACGCCGAGUAUAAUCUCUUCAACCCAUUCAGUCGGGCAGAAGAUACAAAAGCUUCAGAUUCAAGAACAGCUUCUUCCCCACUGUUAUGAGGCUGCUGAAUGCACCUCUCAAAUUUCAAAGAUAGCGCCCUCCAUACCAGUCAACAUCCUGGUGAACCUCCUCUGCACCCUCUCCAAAGCAUGUACUCGUUUGAGUACAUGUAACAAAAAAGCUUAUUCAACUCCAUUCAUGCUUUGAGAGCCUGACAGACUGGACAUUGUUUGAAGAUGUUCAUCCUAAAGACAACAGCGCUCACUCUCUGUUACGCUGGGAAUGUCAACCUGCUCCGAAUGCUCAAGUCUCUGCAAGAGGACUUAAAUCUAGGUCCUAUUGACUUGGAGAUAACAACGCUACCACUGAACCAGGACUGAUACCUCAAAACAGUCACUUGUGUAAGAUUAGAACUUUAGAGAAAUGAGAGGAGAAGACAGGGGAGCAACAGAAGAGACAAAGAUAGUCAAACACUGGAGAACCGCAGCAGGUCUGGCAACGUCUGUGGAGAGGGAAACUGAGUGCAUGUUUCGAGUCUGCAGUGACACUUUUUUUGUAAUGUGUCAGAAGAAUUACAAAUGGAAGUGGGAAGAGACUGAACAAAGGGGGAUAAAGGUAGAGAUAAGAUAGGAAGAUAUAGCUUGGUGCUAGAAGAUCACAGAUUACGUAUAACCGAGCACAUUUCAGACAGAAAAUAACUCAAGCUCUCUGGAAAGAAUAUGAAAAAACAAGUAUGAUGCCAAGCCAUUUGGGACAGGAACUGAAAGCUGUGUUGUGAAAGAUGGAACCUGUGCUACGUUUAAAAGGAAAGGAGUGAGUGAAGGGUUCAAGGAAAAGGUUCUGAAAAGUAAGACUGUGACAAUAUUGAACAGAAGGGAGGGGUAGGACACACAAAAAGGCAAGAGCAGCAAGAUGGCUCAGAGAUUAAGCACUGCUGCCUCACAGGUGCCAGGAACCCAGGUUCGAUUCCACCCUCCAGUAAUUGUCUGCGUGGGUUUCCUCCGUGUGCUAUGGUUUCUGCCCACAGUUUAAAGAUGUCCAAGUUAGGUGAAUUCACAGUGGGAUUAUGACGCUGGAUCCUGGUGGGAUGCUCUCUGGAAUUCCAUGAAUGAGCACAAGGACUCUUGGUGUCUGGUCAAACAUGUUGUUGUUUUCUAACCAACUUUUCAAAAAUGUUAUAACUCACCUCUGGAGCAGGUGGGAUUUGAACCAAGGGAUGGUAUCACCACGCCACAACAUUCCAAACAAUCAGAAGCAAAUGAGUAUUAAUUAUUUUAAGCACACGAAUAGGGAGUAUGCUGGAUGUGGAAUGGAUGGUAAGACUGAGCAAGUCAAUAAACUGCCUCCAAAAUAAACAUGUGUCUUGGUUUCUAUCUCACAAACCAGCAUUGGGACCUUUAAGAGGCACGUGGGAGAGAGGUUACCAGGUUAGAGAACGUAGCAGCGAUAGAACAGGUAGACCGUAAGACUUCUGAAGACAAGGUUUCGGGUUUUAAAUUCAUUACAUUGGAAAGCAUCUUACAACAACAAUUUUCAUUUAAAAAGCAUUUCUUAAUAUAAUAAAGCAACUCAGAGUGUUGCAUAGGGUCAUGAUCGAAUAAAUUUAGAAACCAAUGAGAUGAGGACAGAAAAGCUAUGUUUUUGAUAGCCUCUUAAAGGACCAGAAAUGUCUAGGGGAGGGAGAGAGAGAGAAUUCUAGAGUCUGGGCAGCUGAAUGAUGGAAUGAUUAAAGCCAAAAGACGCUAAAAUAGAAGGAAUGCAGAGAUCUCAGAGGGUUAUUAUCUGGACAGAAACAUUACUGCCCUCCAUGUAGAGCAAGAAUAUUCUUCCUUAGAUAAAAGGAGAGCAG